rnacentral:lncRNA from 15 species
CUUAUUUUUAUAACCUCUCUGUGAUUACACUAUUGAAAACAAUAGUGUUAUUAUAUUCAAUUUAGAUCCUCCUAAAUGUUACACACUGGAGCUUUAAGUUGUUGAAGUUUUACUCCAGUCACCUUUAAAUGAUGUAAAACAAAAAUACUCUGCUUUGAUAAUUAGUAUCAUAAAUAAACAAUAUUUUGUUUAACAUGAUUGUCCGACAUAAAAAGUCUGAACUACGGAAGCCACGCCCACCGAGGUCAUUGCCCCAGGUUGACGGGUGACAGAGCCCCAGGCAACAAGAUGGCUAACCUCAGAGGAAACAUUGGAUAUAUUCAGACAUAGCCUCCAUGUUUAAGCCUCAGCCUCAAACUCAGAAUGGAGAAACUAUGGUGGCCGAGAAAAACGCGGGCCACUUUGGAAAAAUGGCGGUUCAACAUGGCGGACUCCCUGCGACCUGUGGCGUCUGCAGAUAAAAGAAGGCUCAUUCUAAGGUGCAGUAUCAGAAGGAAGGUGAUGCAGAGACAGACAAAGCCAAGCAGGAAGAGAAGGUGGAACAGGCAUCAGAGACUCAGCUGGAGAAAGAGACAGUUCACCCAGCAGAAAGAGAGAAGUGAUGAGGCUCAAGCCAGUUUGGGGAGCUUACAUUUUCAUCCAAAUGAAACUCUUUACAGGGAGUCCUUUUUAAAGGGGUCCUGCUGCAGCAGUUGGUGUGGGGAAGCCAAAUUAAAUUCCUAUGGCUCAGGGUCAUGGCAACAGUUCAGAUGUUUAUUGAUUAAAUGUCAACUGCCCAGGUGA